UACGUAGGUGGCGAGCGUUAUCCGGAUUUACUGGGUGUAAAGGGUGUGUAGGCGGGGAAGCAAGUCAGAUGUGAAAUGCCAAGGCUUAACUUUGGCACUGCAUUUGAAACUGCGUCUCUUGAGAGUCGGAGAGGUAAUCGGAAUUCCCAGUGUAGCGGUGAAAUGCGUAGAUAUUGGGAGGAACACCAGUGGCGAAGGCGGAUUACUGGACGACAACUGACGCUGAGACACGAAAGCGUGGGGAGCAAAC
rnacentral:rRNA from 1 species